UACGUAGGGGGCAAGCGUUGUCCGGAUUUAUUGGGCGUAAAGAGCGUGUAGGCGGCCGUACAGGUCAGCUGUGAAAACUCGAGGCUCAACCUCGAGACGUCGGUUGAAACCGUACGGCUAGAGUCCGGAAGAGGAGAGUGGAAUUCCCGGUGUAGCGGUGAAAUGCGCAGAUAUCGGGAAGAACACCCGUGGCGAAGGCGGCUCUCUGGGACGGUACUGACGCUGAGACGCGAAAGCGUGGGGAGCGAAC
rnacentral:rRNA from 1 species